rnacentral:rRNA from 1 species
ACAUACGACCAUAGCCACCAGAGAACUCGGGAUCCCGUCCGAUCUCCCACUGAUAACCUGGUGAGUGCUGAAUUAGUAGUUGGGUCGGUGACGACCAGCGAAUCCUCAGUGUUGUAUGUA